GUCCGCAAAGGCGCUGUCGGAUGACGUCAUGGACCAGCGGCACUUGCGUGACGUAGGCUCUGCCUGAGUAGAUUGGACGCCGCAGACCCGCAGAUCCCGCAGACGAUUCGUCCACAUCAUCUUUCUUCCCUGCCCUGCGUUUCCUAUUGUUGCCACAGUGCCACCCUCCAGUCUGAACAUGCUGUUUUGCUCACAAAUUGCUGUGGCCAGCAAGCUGUUUCUUGCAUACCGUCUCCUUCCCAACCCUGCGCGCCUACGGAGUCGUGCAAAGGAGAGAUCAGCAGCCCUGCUGUUGAGUGUUGGUUCUUGAGCAAGGAGAACCAGGCCUGGAGCUCGGCUCUGACGCAAGGACCGGCUUCUGUUGAUUGCUUGUGGGGCUUAGCGUUAGCCAGGAUCCAGUUGAUCUUGCUAAAUAAAUGACUUCUAGGAAAGCGAA